rnacentral:rRNA from 1 species
UUGAACGCUGGCGGCAGGCCUAACACAUGCAAGUCGAGCGAGAAAGUACUUCGGUACGAGUAAAGCGGCGGACGGGUGAGUAACGCGUAGGAAUCUACCUGGUAGUGGGGGACAACAUGUGGAAACGCAUGCUAAUACCGCAUACGACCUAAGGGUGAAAGUGGGGGACCUUCGGGCCUCACGCUAUCGGAUGAGCCUGCGUAAGAUUAGCUAGUUGGUGAGGUAAGAGCUCACCAAGGCGACGAUCUUUAGCUGGUCUGAGAGGAUGAUCAGCCACACUGGGACUGAGACACGGCCCAGACUCCUACGGGAGGCAGCAGUGGGGAAUAUUGCGCAAUGGAGGAAACUCUGACGCAGCCAUGCCGCGUGUGUGAAGAAGGCCUUAGGGUUGUAAAGCACUUUCAAUUGGGAAGAAAGGUUGUACGUUAAUAGCGUGCAGCUGUGACAUUACCUUUAGAAGAAGCACCGGCUAACUCCGUGCCAGCAGCCGCGGUAAUACGGAGGGUGCGAGCGUUAAUCGGAAUUACUGGGCGUAAAGCGCGCGUAGGCGGUUUGUUAAGUCGGAUGUGAAAGCCCUGGGCUCAACCUGGGAACUGCAUUCGAUACUGGCAAACUAGAGUGCGAGAGAGGGAGGUAGAAUUCCAUGUGUAGCGGUGAAAUGCGUAGAUAUGUGGAGGAAUACCGGUGGCGAAGGCGGCCUCCUGGCUCGACACUGACGCUGA